UUGGUGACCGACAGGCGCGUGC
rnacentral:miRNA from 1 species